rnacentral:rRNA from 1 species
AACUGCUCUUUAACAAUUUAUCAGACAAUCUGUGUGGGCACUCAAAGUGACAUGGAUUCUUAACGUCCUCGGACGAAAAAUGAAUACCAAGUCUCAAGAGUGAACACGUAAUUCAUUACGAAGUUUAAUUCUUUGAGCAUCAAACUUAAAUUGAAGAGUUUGAUCAUGGCUCAGAUUGAACGCUGGCGGCAGGCCUAACACAUGCAAGUCGAGCGGUAGCACAGAGAGCUUGCUCUCGGGUGACGAGCGGCGGACGGGUGAGUAAUGUCUGGGAAACUGCCUGAUGGAGGGGGAUAACUACUGGAAACGGUAGCUAAUACCGCAUAAUGUCGCAAGACCAAAGUGGGGGACCUUCGGGCCUCAUGCCAUCAGAUGUGCCCAGAUGGGAUUAGCUAGUAGGUGGGGUAACGGCUCACCUAGGCGACGAUCCCUAGCUGGUCUGAGAGGAUGACCAGCCACACUGGAACUGAGACACGGUCCAGACUCCUACGGGAGGCAGCAGUGGGGAAUAUUGCACAAUGGGCGCAAGCCUGAUGCAGCCAUGCCGCGUGUGUGAAGAAGGCCUUCGGGUUGUAAAGCACUUUCAGCGGGGAGGAAGGCGGUGAGGUUAAUAACCUCAUCGAUUGACGUUACCCGCAGAAGAAGCACCGGCUAACUCCGUGCCAGCAGCCGCGGUAAUACGGAGGGUGCAAGCGUUAAUCGGAAUUACUGGGCGUAAAGCGCACGCAGGCGGUCUGUCAAGUCGGAUGUGAAAUCCCCGGGCUCAACCUGGGAACUGCAUUCGAAACUGGCAGGCUAGAGUCUUGUAGAGGGGGGUAGAAUUCCAGGUGUAGCGGUGAAAUGCGUAGAGAUCUGGAGGAAUACCGGUGGCGAAGGCGGCCCCCUGGACAAAGACUGACGCUCAGGUGCGAAAGCGUGGGGAGCAAACAGGAUUAGAUACCCUGGUAGUCCACGCCGUAAACGAUGUCGAUUUGGAGGUUGUGCCCUUGAGGCGUGGCUUCCGGAGCUAACGCGUUAAAUCGACCGCCUGGGGAGUACGGCCGCAAGGUUAAAACUCAAAUGAAUUGACGGGGGCCCGCACAAGCGGUGGAGCAUGUGGUUUAAUUCGAUGCAACGCGAAGAACCUUACCUGGUCUUGACAUCCACAGAACUUUCCAGAGAUGGAUUGGUGCCUUCGGGAACUGUGAGACAGGUGCUGCAUGGCUGUCGUCAGCUCGUGUUGUGAAAUGUUGGGUUAAGUCCCGCAACGAGCGCAACCCUUAUCCUUUGUUGCCAGCGGUCCGGCCGGGAACUCAAAGGAGACUGCCAGUGAUAAACUGGAGGAAGGUGGGGAUGACGUCAAGUCAUCAUGGCCCUUACGACCAGGGCUACACACGUGCUACAAUGGCAUAUACAAAGAGAAGCGACCUCGCGAGAGCAAGCGGACCUCAUAAAGUAUGUCGUAGUCCGGAUUGGAGUCUGCAACUCGACUCCAUGAAGUCGGAAUCGCUAGUAAUCGUAGAUCAGAAUGCUACGGUGAAUACGUUCCCGGGCCUUGUACACACCGCCCGUCACACCAUGGGAGUGGGUUGCAAAAGAAGUAGGUAGCUUAACCUUCGGGAGGGCGCUUACCACUUUGUGAUUCAUGACUGGGGUGAAGUCGUAACAAGGUAACCGUAGGGGAACCUGCGGUUGGAUCACCUCCUUA